AUGGAGUCACUGAGCCAGGUCCUCAUGUCCCUGCUGCUCUGGGUGUCUGGUACCUGUGCAUAUAUUGAAAUGACCCAGUCCCCAUCCUCCCUGGCUGUGUCAGUAGGAGAGAAGGUCACCAUCAGCUGCAAGUCCAGUCAGAGUCUUUAUAACAGUAAAAACCAGAAGGACUACUUGGGGUGGUACCAGCAGAAACCAGGGCAGAUUCCUAAACUGUUGAUCUACUGGGCAUCCACUCGGAACACUGGUGUCCCUGAUCGCUUCAUUGGCAGUGGGUCUGGGACAGAUUUCACUCUCACCAUUACCAGUGUGCAGGCUGAGGACCUGGCAGAUUAUUACUGUCAGAAUGAUUAUAUUUAUCCUCUCACAGUGCUUCAGCCUCUAACAAAAACCUCCGCUGGGAGUCUCAUCAAAUGCCUACAUCAUGCACAGCCCUGGGCUUGCACACUUCCCCAUUCUGCUUGA